rnacentral:lncRNA from 1 species
AUGACUAAUCGAUGAUUGAGAAUCAUUCAAGGGUAAUUGUCAAUACGAUUGAUGAUUUACCUUGUGCAAUAGUUACAAUAAAAUUAUUUGCUAAGAGUUAGUAAAAUUUAAGAAAAUUAAUUAGUAAUUAGAUUAUUGAUUAGCUCAAUUUGAUUGAGCAUUGAAGUUUGGAUCAAGUCUAAUUGAAUUGGAUUCAAUUAGGUCAAAUCCAAUUAGGUUAUAAGAUGACCUAAUCGCUAAGGGAUAUUAAGCCCUAAUUUGAUCAAGACUUGGAUCCAAUUAAUUUUUCAUUGAGUUAGGAACAAGUUAGAUUGGGUUC